ACGCUGGCGGCAUGCCUAACACAUGCAAGUCGAACGGAAACGAUGCUAGCUUGCUAGCAGGCGUCGAGUGGCGGACGGGUGAGUAAAGUAUAGGAACUUGCCUAAUAGUGGGGGACAACGUGUGGAAACGCACGCUAAUACCGCAUACGCUCUACGGAGGAAAGCGGGGGAUCUUCGGACCUCGUGCUAUUAGAUAGGCCUAUAUAGGAUUAGCUAGUUGGUAAGGUAAUGGCUUACCAAGGCGACGAUCCUUAGCUGGUUUGAGAGAAUGAUCAGCCACACUGGGACUGAGACACGGCCCAGACUCCUACGGGAGGCAGCAGUGGGGAAUAUUGCACAAUGGGCGCAAGCCUGAUGCAGCAAUGCCGCGUGUGUGAAGAAGGCCUUCGGGUUGUAAAGCACUUUCAGACGUGAGGAAAAGUUAAUAGUUAAUAACUGUUAACCCUGACGUUAACGUCAGAAGAAGCACCGGCUAACUCCGUGCCAGCAGCCGCGGUAAUACGGAGGGUGCAAGCGUUAAUCGGAAUUACUGGGCGUAAAGCGCGCGUAGGCGGUUAUUUAAGUCAGAUGUGAAAUCCCUGGGCUCAACCUAGGAACUGCAUUUGAUACUGGAUAACUAGAGUAUGGUAGAGGUGAGUGGAAUUUCAGGUGUAGCGGUGAAAUGCGUAGAGAUCUGAAGGAACAUCAGUGGCGAAGGCGACUCACUGGGCCAUUACUGACGCUGAGUCGAA
rnacentral:rRNA from 1 species